rnacentral:SRP_RNA from 1 species
GCCAGGCAUGGUAGCACGUGCCUGUAAUCCCAGUUACUCAGGAGGCUGAGGCAGGAGAAUUGCUUGAACCCAGGAGGCAGAGGUUGCAGUGAGCCGAGAUUGUGCCACUGCACCCCAGCCUGGGUGACAGAGCGAGACUCUGUCUCAA